CUCUCUGGGAGUAGGGCCCAGCGAGAUCGUCCUAAAUUCAAAUCCUGCAGCAGCCAUAGUAGCUGUGGGAUGUGGUCACUUAAUCUCGCUGAGCCUCGGUCCCUCUUCUAUAGCCCCAGGUGCCCAGCAGGCCGACAGAGGCUGUGGCCGCCUCUCCCACCUCUUUGAAUUGGGCUGAGAGAAAGACGCGCACCUUCCGGAGAGGACCGUCAGGCUGAAGAAGGCACAGCUAGUGUCUAACGGGAGGAAGCUCUUUGGCAUUUCACAAAGCAAGUUGCAACCAGAGUCUGGCAGCUUCCAUUGUAUCGAACAAUUAAGGAAAACAAUGAUCUGUGAUCACGGCAAGCUUCUGGCCGCCUGAAACGCAGAAGGGAGCUUGCUGGGUUUCAGACAUGGGUAAGUGUGGGGUGGCAUUGCAGCAGGGAUUGGAGGCCGUCAGACCAAAGAGGUGACCCAGAGUGGCCGUGGGCACAGGACUCAACCUCUCAGAGCCUCUGGUUCCUGGUCUAUAGCCUAAGGACGAUCCCACCUCCCAGGUUGUCAUGUGGAUUUAAUGGGCCACCAGGUGUAAUCAGUAUUCAGGAAGGGAUGGUAAUGGUCUGUGGUGUGGUUAUGGAGGAAGCCAAUGUCCACCAGUUCCACGUCCACGCAGGUUAGCUCCCAGGUCUUCCCAAUAACGCUUUGGGGCAAAGGAUUUACUGAAUUGACGCCCAGGGAGGUCCAAUGAGUUGCUCCAGGUCUAAUGACAUUGCCUAAGCGUGUCAUAGCCCCUCCCCAUGCUCAGUUCCCUGAUUUAAAGUCAGUGCCUCUUGGAAGCAAUCACAGUGUCCUUCGGGAGGUGAGUAGAUACAUAAGUGGAU
ensembl:lincRNA